UACGAAGGGGGCUAGCGUUGCUCGGAAUCACUGGGCGUAAAGGGUGCGUAGGCGGGUUUUAAGUCAGAGGUGAAAUCCUGGAGCUCAACUCCAGAACUGCCUUUGAUACUGAAAGUCUUGAGUAUGGGAGAGGUGAGUGGAACUGCGAGUGUAGAGGUGAAAUUCGUAGAUAUUCGCAAGAACACCAGUGGCGAAGGCGGCUCACUGGCCCGGUACUGACGCUGAGGUGCGAAAGCGUGGGGAGCAAACAGG
rnacentral:rRNA from 1 species